AUUGAACGCUGGCGGCAUGCCUUACACAUGCAAGUCGAACGGUAACAGGUCUUCGGAUGCUGACGAGUGGCGAACGGGUGAGUAAUACAUCGGAACGUGCCCGAGAGUGGGGGAUAACGAAGCGAAAGCUUUGCUAAUACCGCAUACGAUCUCAGGAUGAAAGCAGGGGACCGCAAGGCCUCGCGCUCACGGAGCGGCCGAUGGCAGAUUAGGUAGUUGGUGGGAUAAAAGCUUACCAAGCCGACGAUCUGUAGCUGGUCUGAGAGGACGACCAGCCACACUGGGACUGAGACACGGCCCAGACUCCUACGGGAGGCAGCAGUGGGGAAUUUUGGACAAUGGGCGCAAGCCUGAUCCAGCCAUGCCGCGUGCAGGAUGAAGGCCUUCGGGUUGUAAACUGCUUUUGUACGGAACGAAAAGACUCUGGUUAAUACCCAAGAUGAGUGGACGUUACUCGCAGAAUAAGCACCGGCUAACUCUGUGCCAGCAGCCGCAGUAA
rnacentral:rRNA from 1 species